UUAUCUCUUCUUUCUUUUCUUCUUCCUUCUUAUUCUUUCAUUUUUUUUUUCUUACCUUAUGUACUUAAUUUAUAACAAAUAUUGGUUAGGUUUGCAUUGGGAAUUAAUGUCCACUUUGUCAACAAAUUUAUUAACGAAAUUAUCAAUAAAUAUUUAAAUACUUAAUUAUUGACGAAUUUUCAAAAUUUAAUUAUCAACCCACUUAUUAACAAAUUUUUUCAAGCUAGAUUUACUAACAAA
rnacentral:lncRNA from 1 species